ACCACUUUGUCUGUUCUCCAGCCACCACACCCAAAACUCACUUAAAAUCACUACCAGUAUCUCAAAGGAAUCAGCUGUGCACAGCCCUGCUCAACUACACCACUGUGACAGGUUGGAUCACAGAAACCCACUUGGGAAAUGCCACCUGAUGUGCUGUGACUACCACUGAG